rnacentral:rRNA from 1 species
GUCCUGGCUUAACGAUGGAUGCUUGGUGUCUGGAGUUAUAUAGUCUCCGGGUGCCGCAGCUAACGCGUUAAGCAUCCCGCCUGGGGAGUACGGUCGCAAGACUGAAACUCAAAGGAAUUGACGGGGACCCGCACAAGCGGUGGAGCAUGUGGUUCAAUUCGACGCAACGCGAAGAACCUUACCUGGGCUAGAAUGCCUCUGACAACUCCAGAGAUGGAGCCUCUUAGGGAAACCUAGGCAGAGUGCAAGGUGCUGCAUGGCUGUCGU